GACGAUAAAAAUUGUAAGCUCAUGUCCAAGAUGAGGAGCAGGGCUUGAAUUGCCAAUUUCUGCCAAAUGCCGCUUCAUUUGCUUCCAGAUCAAUGACCUAUAGAGAAGACAGAUGAAGAUAACGAAAAUGAAUUUCCUGAUACUAAGUUAACUACAUAAAUUCAAAUGAAAAUAACAGGCCAAUAGACUCGUAGAGAACCAAAUGAACUAUAAAUACUAUACCUAGCAAACAAGUAGCGGCUUUUGGUAUUGCAGUUGGGCAACAGGUUCCUUCAAUUCCGUCACAUAAGCUCUUAUGCUUCUCACAGUCUCCUCUGCUGCAUUCUAAACCAUCUU
rnacentral:lncRNA from 1 species